rnacentral:piRNA from 1 species
UACAUUUUCGAGCAGCUGACUCACAGAUGGU